rnacentral:pre_miRNA from 12 species
AUGGAGUUAUCAAAUGUAACAGCAACUCCAUGUGGACCAGGUACCGACUUCCAGUGGGGAUGCUGUUACUUUUGAUGGCUACCAA